AUUGAACGCUGGCGGCAGGCCUAACACAUGCAAGUCGAACGAGUGGCGGACGGGUGAGUAAUGUCUGGGAAACUGCCUGAUGGAGGGGGAUCACUACUGGAAACGGUCGCUAAUACCGCAUACCAUCAGAUGUGCCCAGCUGGGAUUAGCUAGUUGGUGGGGUAACGGCUCACCAAGGCGACGAUCCCUUGCUGGUCUGAGAGGAUGACCAGCCACACUGGAACUAGGACACGUUCCAGACUCCAACGGGAGGCAGCAGUGGGAAAUAUUGCACAAUGGGCGCAAGCCGGAUGCAGCCAUGCCGCGGGUAUGAAGAGGGCCUUCGGGUUGUAAAGUACUUUCAGCGGGGAGGCGUUACCCGCAGAAGAAGCACCGGCUAACUCCGUGCCAGCAGCCGCGGUAAUUC
rnacentral:rRNA from 1 species